ACUUUAGCUAAGAACAUGACUCUAGCAUUAGUGUUCUCUCAGAAUCUCUCGUCAGACUCCUCUCCUUUGGUAUUUUUCUAAGAACGAAGAUGAGGAAUGUGUUGUUGAAGCCAGAUGAUACUACUUUUGUUAAAGACGAAGAUACAAAGUCCGGCCGCAUUCAAGAGUCAAGAAGAUUCGCCUCCUGUUUUCUGCAUGCAACAAUUGUACAAUCAAUGUCAAUUAUCAGCCUUAAUGGUUUGAACUUUGAACUGUGCCAAUAUCCUGAACUUUGAACUGUGCCAAUAUCCAGAUAUUGGCACUAACCACAGUGCCAAUAUCUGAAUAAUGGCACUGUUGAAGCCUUUGAUCUAGGCUCCACCCAUUAUUUAACUAUGCAUAUCAUUGAAAUGACAUACAAUGUGCUGUGUACAUUACUAUUAUCAAUAUUGUCCUCCAAAAGGUUAUUACAUUAGGAAGGUUGUAUCUGGCUUAUCUCAGUAUUCCUGUUGUACAGAAUCUUCUCUCCAGUAGACAACAGAUGAAUACUAGCUUUGAACCAUUGAGGAUUAUCAACACAUACGGAGCUUUUGGCAGAUUCCAGCUGAACAAGGUCAGACUUAUGCAUCAGAAGUUAAUGCCAUAUUUGGAGAGACUAGUGCCCUCACUGCUAGGAAUGUUGAGGAAAUGUUCAUUGAAAUAACUCGUAAGUUACCACCAGAUUGUUUAACUAGUUUACCAGCUGGUGCCUCUCUCUUAA